CUGGAGGAGGGUAAGAGAAGCAGUUGGUGGACGCCGUUUAUUCUGGUCCCAGUCCCGGAAGGGCCACAACCAUGGUUGCUCCAGGCUUUGCUGGCAGAGGGAGAAGAAGAGAAGCAGCUGGAUGCCAGAGACUACAGUUGGACCUCAAAGAGAAGCAGCUUGACUUCAAAGGAGCAGUUCAACGGCAUUGCUUUGGAGAGGAGUCUGGCUAAGGACGGCUGGACUUUGGGGGAAGAUUACCUUCCCACUGUAUCUCCUUUUUAGCUCCCUUUUCCACUGAGAGCCACUUUCAUUGGCAAUAAAAUCCCCCUCAUUUACCAUCUCCAAUUUGUUCGUGUGACCUCAUUCCUCCAGGACGCUGGUCACGAACUCGGGUGCAGGUGCCAAAGGCUGUCACACUGACCCUCCACUGAGCUCUUAACACCUUAACCAUCCAAGGAUGGCGAAGCUAAAAGAGUACUGACUAUAACACUCCUUCUGGGGCUUCAGGGAUUGUGGGCACCCUCCUAGAUGCUGCUGCAGAUCCAGCAUGGAGUUAAUUCCUGCUGGUGCCCAAAGCACUCGCCCCGGCUCCUGCACCCACUCACCUGCAUGCUCCCUCCCGCAGAGAGAUUGAGUGCAGUGAGUUAGAGUGAAUGGAGUUUGCCCCUGAUGAUGCCUGUGCACUCCAGUUCUUGCCUGCAAAUGGGUCAGGGAAAAUUUCCUGCUUCACUGUUACCAAAGUCCAGGGACUACCACUGUCUCUCACAUCACCUGGUUCAAAUUGAUCUUUCUGCAUUGGCCUCCCAAAGUGUUCUUAGGAGUGAGCCACCAUGCCCAGCCUCCUUUGCCAAACACUUUUAAUUCCCAUUUCUUGAUUUGUUUCUUUCUCUAAUACACUAUACAGACAGUCCCCAAAUCUAACAAUAGUUAGUUACACAUGAUUUUUUGAAUUCAUAAUGAUGCAAAAGCCAUGUGCAUUCAGUAUGCUCCUCAAUUUAUGAUGGGUUUGCAUCCAAAUAAACCCAUCUUUAAAUUGAAAAUGUCAUAAUUCAACUUAUAUUAUUUUCCACUUACAAUGGGUUUAUUCGGAUGUAGCCCCAUCAUAAGUCGAGGAGCAUGUGAAUAUUUUACUUUUAAAUGUUAUUUAUUGUCUGUCUCUCCCAGGACUUCAUGUGACUUUCAUGGGCCUUAGGCAUAUUGCUUCUAUGGGACCCUUCCUCUAUGUAGAAAUGCUAGAAUUUUUAUUUGAAGACUGUAUUCGUAUAAAAACAAUUCUAAUCCAGGCUGGAUUCAUUAUUUUAUAUUCUUUUUUUCUUCUGAUUUUAAAUGAAGUUAAAAUUAAAACAAUUUUGUGGGACCCUGAAAGUAUUACGGGCCCUAUGCACUGUGGCUACUCUGCCUAAUGAGUAAAUCAGCUCCUGAGAGUUCACAACCAGCCUGGGCAACACAGCAAGACCUCGUCUCUACAAAAAAUGUUUUAAAAAAAUUAUCCAGGUGUGGUGGUGCAUGCCUGUAGUCCCAGCUACUCAGGAGGCUGAGACGGGAGGGUUGCUUGAGCCUGGAGUGUCAAGCCUGCAGUGAGCUGUGAUUGUGCCACUACACUGCAAUCUAAGUGACAGAGCGAGAACCUGUCUCAAAAAAAAAAAAAAAAGUGUUAGGGGAAGGACAGCUGAAGUUUCAGAUAGGAUAUCCCAGGAGCAAGGUUUCCUGAGCAGGUGACUCCUGAGUAAAGAGCUAGAAGAGGGAGGGAUAGGCGGUGUUUGAAAUGUAGACAGAGAUUGUUCUUUUAAGAAGGAUCAGCAGGUGCUUAGGCCCUGAGGCAAGAAGGCACUUACUAUGUGAAUGACAGUGAGGAGGCCAGUGUGACUAGAAUGUAUGGACAAGGAGACAAACAAAGGGAAGAGUAGUAAGAGAUGAGGUCAGAGAGUUGACUGGAGGCCAGACCACUGGGAUUGUGUAAGGUUACAGGAAGAACUCUGACUUAUAUUUUGACCUGAUUUAUAUUUUAAAGAGAUCUCUCUAGGUAUUGCAUUUAUUUUGAAGAGAAUAAAUUGAAGGAGGCACAAGCACAAGGUGAAAGACCAGUUAAGAGACCACAGUAACAAUCCAAGUGAGUAAUAAUGGUGACUUGAACCAGUGGAGUUGCAGUGGGAGUGGUGAGAAGUGGAUGGAUUCUGUAACUAUUUUCAAUGUAGUGGUAACAGUCUUUGCUGAUGGGUUGAAUCAGUGUUGUGAGAGAAAAGGAAGGGUCAAAGAUGAAUACAAGUGUUUUGGCCCGAGCAAAAGAAUGGGUGGAGUUACCAUUGAUUGAGAUGGGGGAAGACUGAGGGAGGGAGAGAGGGAGGAGGUAGGUUGGAUGAGAAGAGCAAGUUCUCAAUUAAAAAUGCAGAUGCCCAUGCUGUAAAAGCAAUUGAAGAUGUUCUCGCUAGAAAUAUACUUCUGGGAGUCAUCAGUUUGAUCUCAUUCAGUCAUCAAUUGAAUGUCAUCAGGUGAUGGUAUUCAGUGCCUUGGGAUGGGAAGAGAUCACUGACAGAGUAAGUCCAGAGAGUUGCAAUGUCUUUUAAAUUUUUGUAUGUUCAACAACUAACUCAGUACUUGACUUCCAAUACCUAUUAUUAAUUGAAUGAAGAUGUUUGUACUUGUCCCCCUAGGAGGAAGCUAUGCACAUAAUUUCCAAACUAGUUACUGAGGAAGUGUUAAGCUCCCUUGUUAUAUACACGUAGCUCCCUGAUAAUUUUCUUGGGACAUUUAUUUCAGUUUGCACUUCUAUGUUUAUCUGGAUGAUUAUCUAAGUUAUAGCUCUCCACCUAAGCCUUAUGAGGGUAAAGACCAUAUCCUCUAUUCUUCUUCCCACUGACAUCCAGCACAGCGUCUAAAAUAUAAUGGUUAAUUUGUUGAGCAAAAAAAAAAAGAAAUGGAAAAUACUUUUUUAUAUUAAAGUCAUUUUAUUUGGACUUAUCUAUUGAAUAAACUUGCUUGGACUCUUAAAGUCUACUUUAAAAAAAAAAACAAAAUCUAAUGGGGAAAACCACAAUAACCUAAAUCUUCAUUUUCAACUAGUAGCAUUAAGUUGAUACUCCUUCCUUAUCUGCUCAUCUGCCCAGACCAAUCAUCAAUAGAUAGAGAGUUCACCACAUACUCUCCUUACAAAGUCUGUGUAUAACCUCACACCCUUCCCAGACACUGUCUCAGUUGCCCACUACCACAUCAUCUGAUUGGUACUGAUGACAAAACUCAUCCACUAUCCUUUAUCUAAAUCACAUCAGGUGAUCUCAAAUCAGCUUUAUGCCCCCAUUGGGCUAACUCCAUAAAAAUAAUAUCAUAUUUAUGGAUAUUAUAUCUGCAAAGUCAACAUGGCUAAUUAGCACCCACAUCCAGCAACUCCUUGUUGUUCCUGCCGAAAGGAAAGCCUUUGCUAUCAUUGAGCCAGCUGUCACUUAGUAAUAGUUGGUCUAUGAUGCUACUGCAGCAGAUGCUUCCCAGCCUUCCCUCCCCACAAAUAAAACCCACUAUUUAGUGAAGGGUUCUUUGGUGUCUAGCUUUUAUAGUUCAGAAUUUCUCUUCAGUCCUAGAAUGUUAUUACAUUUCAAAAAAACCAUUCUUUCUGAGAUGUCUGUAUAUUUCUCUGAUAUCAUGAUUUCCUAUAGCAUUAGCUCUCAGAAGUUUUUAACCCAAACUAGCAAGGGUAUUGCUGGUCCAUUGCAACACCCAAACUACAGGAUCCUUUCUAGCCUCCAUUCAUUUCAAAUGAUUCCAGCCCUGAGAAAUCAAAUAAGGAGACUAGAAUUUGGAUGAGAGAGUUUGAGUGCUCUACAGUGCAAGGCUUCAAGGGGUUGGGAGAAUCUGAUUUGAAAAGCAUGUCUGGGUGGAGGAUGCUAGUGGUGCUUUUGAGGUCUGCUCAAGCAAAAGAUGGUAUGAGGCCCCAAGUUCUGGAGCAAUGUGUGCCUGCUUUUUUUGUUAUUUUAAUUACUACUGAUUGUGCAUUUUCUUUGUGCUUAAUAAUUGUAUAGAUUUUAUUAUUCAAUUCCCUCACAAAUCCUACAAUGCAGGUAUUAUCAUUUUUCCCCAUUUUACAGAUGAGGAAACUGGGCACUAAGUUAUAUACUUCAAAAAGUCUCAUAGCUAGCAGAUGGUAUAACCAAUAUUUGAACCUGUAUCUCAGAAUUUGUCCACUUAACUGUUUCCUUAUUUUUGCCUCUUGGUGUUCAGUACCAAAGAGGCUUGCUACUGAAGCCAUACCUUAGGGCAUAAGGAUUGGAAAAGACUUGAAAGUCACGCAAUUCCUAUUUUCCUAUUUUUAUCUGAGGCUAGUCUUACAUCCCCAGAUAAAAUGGGAAACAACUGAACUGUCUUGAUUACUGCUGUUUCCAAUGCCUAGGCAGUGUUUGGUGUACAGGUGCUAGACAAAUAUUAGUGGAAGGAAUACAUGAUUUGGAAUCAGAAGUUCAAAGCCAUCAUCACAUAGUCUUUUUUCCUAGCACCAAUAUUUCCAUAAAUAUUUAAAAACCUCAUGAAAGUCUGUAAAGACUUUCAUGAGGUUUUUAAAAAGAAAUGGCAUUCAGUGGCUAUCUGUGGUUCUCUAAUGUCGUGGUGCUCAGGGUGGAUCUUUGCAGAGCACACUGUCAAAGGACCCCUGUUUAUCAACUUUUUUUUUUUUUUUAGAGACAGGGUCUUGCUCCUGUCACCCAGGCUGGAGUGCAGUUGCAUGAUCAUAACUCACUACACACUCGAACUCCUGGGCUCAAGUGAUCCUUCCGCCUAAGCUUCCCAAGUAGCUAGGACUAGAGGUGUGUGCCACCACAUGUGGCUUGUUUAUUAACUUCUGGAGUGAUCCCUGUGAUUUUAAUUGGAAAAGUACCCUUUGCUUUCUACUCUAAACUUCAGCACAGUACACUGAUGAUGUUUAAACAGCUGCUAGUUUCCACUCUAGAGGAGUCUACUUUUCAGUGAUGAGCAGGAGAAUGCCAAUAAAUAGGGCUGAAGCAGGGUUCCUGGAAUUAGGUGUGAGACUCAGCUUAUCCUUAUGGGAUGUGUCAGGUGAAUCAUAGGGCCGUCAUGGAACUCCUUGCUCACCUACGCUCCUGAGAGUUUAGAAGAUGUCCUCCAUAUCAUUAGUUACAGGACCUAUCUGUAUAUAAUUACUUCCUGGUUUUGACGUAGAUGACCCAAACGACCAAAAUCUUCUGUCAUGAUCAGGCUGUCUUCCAGUGUUUCAGUCAGUUUUGCUGAGAGGCGAUAUUUAGAUAAGCCUUUUAAAACCAGCCAUCUUAUCUAAACUUUUAAGCUCUGUGCUACCUGAAUAUAUGUCUAGCCCAUCCCUUGUAUUAGUUUACUACUGGGCAAAUAUUCAUAAAACAAUGAAAAAGAGUUCUAUAUUGUACUAUUGAAAACCAUACUUGAAGCUAACUCCAUAUCCUUGAUUGCCCAUUCCGCUGUCCUGAUGGAUCUCUUCCCUAUCUUCCCUUUAGUUACCAGAAAAGCCCCCUAGAGUAAUGGUUUUCAACUGGAGGGAAUUUUGCCAUCAGGGGACAUUUGGCAAUGUCUGGAGACAUUUUUGGUUGCCACAACUUGGAGGAUGCUAUGGGAAUCAGAGACCAGGGAUGCUGCUAAACAUCCUUCAAUACACAGAGCAGCCCCACAAUAAAAAUGAUCCUUCUCAAAAUGUCGACAGUGCUGCUGUUGAGAAACUUCACUCUAGAUUAUGGGGGAUGUUAAUAUCAUGGGGGAUCACAAUAAGGACAUCUCUUGUUUACACUUAUCAAAUUUAAUUUUAUUGACAUUAAAAUAAUAAACCUGGUAUUUAUAAAUAGGUAGAGGAAAACACACUGUCUUAACAGAAAUGAUAAAGAUGAAUUAUAAAGCACAACUUCGUGCUAGCCACUCUAUUGGGUCCUUUAUGUGUAUCUUCAUCUCAUCCUUACAAUUCUAUGAAAGAAGUAUUGCUCUUUUCCCCGUUUUACAGGAAGGUAACUGCAGUUCAUAGGUGAAUAAAUGUGCUUAAGUCCACAUGGAUACAAAGGAGUAGAGCCAGGAUUUGGAUCCCAGUAUGACUACAAAGUCCACGUUCUUUCCCCUAUAGCUUCAGAACGAUCUUUUUCCAUUCGGAAGGAGAGCACAGAAAUAAAAUUGUCAAAAAUUUCAAUCUCAUCUUCGAUGACUUUUCUUAUUUCCUUUCAAUUAAUUCACUUGACCAGAAAUUCCUGUUCCACAGCAAGUCAGGCAGAGCAGCCCAUCCCCUGACUCAUUUCCACAGUUUGCAGCCUGCUGUCUCCUGCUUGCCUUUCAAGCACAAUCCUCCCAUGCAUGAGAAAGCUGUGGUGCACUGGAGACAUCACAUUGUUCUUGUGGUUUGUGGCCAAACUCCCUCACUGAGCCUCCCUUUUAACUGUUUCCUGGCUGGUUUGUGAAUGAUUUUGUGGCCUUUUCCCCCAGAAAAUAUCAAAGACUACCAUUUUGAUGUUCCCUGGUGAAGGCAGUGGCCUUUUUUCAAUUUUCUCACUUAUCUAAUAUUGUUGGGAUAAUGUUUAGCCAAGCCCUACCCACCCCAUUUCAGAAUAUCUGCUUAGCUAGGUCUAAAUACGUAUAUAAAACUUUUGAGUCACUUUAAUACUGUACCAUAAGGAUGUAUACUCUUUUACACUAUUAUAAAUAUUUCUUCUGGUUUUCUCAGUAUGAGCAGCCAGGGCUAAUACUUCAGGGAGAUCCUUUUCUUCUCCUUAAACUGAAAUCGUGAUUCCUGUGCUGUGGGGCCUUGAAGAUGAUGAAAUGAAGUUCAUUAAAUUAUCUAGCUGUGAACUCCUAAGAACAAAAGAUUGACUACUUGGCAAAACAAUUUAAUUGAAAUCCUCAUCCACAUCUCAAAAUAAAUUUUACUAAGCUCAGUGAUGUAUAGAAACAAACUAUUCUUUUUUUUUUUUUUUGAGAUGGAAUUUCAUUCUUGUUGCCCAGGCUGGAGUGCAAUGGUGCAAUAUUGGCUCACUGAAACCUCCGCCUCCCGGGUUCAAGUCAUUCUCUUGUCUCAGUCUCUCUAGUAGCUGGAUUACAGGCAGAUGCCAUGAUGCCCAGCUAAUUUUUGUAUUUUUAGUAGAGACAGGGUUUCACCAUGUUGGUCAAGGCUGGUUUCCAACUCCUGACCUCAGGUGAUUCACCUGCCGAGACCCCCCCAAAGUGCUGGGAUUAUAGGCGUGAGCCACCACGUCUGGCCAACAUUCUUAAUACUAGAUGAAAAUAUGGGUGAGUAUUCAUUUUAUCUCUAGAUGAAGAAAGACUUUUAUGUACAAAAGCAAUGAAAAUAUUCUCAAAGGAAUAGAGCAAUCAGUUGAAGAACCGAAGCAUAGUAGACCUUUCUUUAUAAAAAUUAGAAAUAAAAUUAGAAGUCAGCCAUGGAGGUAGAGACUGAAAGGGGGAAGGGGAGGUGUCUGGGUCUAGGAUGCUGAUAGUGCUGUGUUUGUUGAUCUGGGUUUGAUUGCAUGAUAGCUACACUUCUCACUGAGCAGUACACUUAUUUUAUAUUCGUACAUACCUAUAUAGUCAAUAAAAAGUCAAAAGCAAACAGGUAAAAAUAUAUUUCAUGGGUGUGACAGAUAAAUGUAAAAUAAUAAUGAAAUUUUAAUAAUAAAAAAAUUGACCAUGGACAAUAUAAAUGACUAAUAAACACCAAAAGAGUUUAAAAUGUAAUUAUUUCUAAAAAUAAAAGCAAUGUAUGCAUAUGAUUAAAAACUCAACAAUACAGAAUAACAGAAGGAAAAUUAAGUUUACCUCAUUCUUCCUUGACUCAGUCUUGCUCUUCUGGAAGAAAUCACUAUGAACAGGUUCUUCUUCAUUCUUCCAGAAAAUUUCUAUGUAUAUUAAUAAUGGAAUUAUACUAUGGUAAUGUUCAUAUUAUUAUCCUUCCUGAAAAUGUCUAUGCAUAUACAUAUAUAUUUAAACCAAAUGAAAUCAUACUGUACUGCAUAUUCAAUUACUUUUUUUUUUAGCUGAACAAUGUCUUCUGAAGGUUGUUGCUUAUUAGCACAUGAAAUUCUACCUCAAUUUUUUUUAUGGCUUCAGAUUAUUUCAGUAUAUCAUGAUCUAGUUAAAUAUUUCUCUAUUAAUGCACAUUUUUUAGUCUGGUUUUUGUUUUUGUUUUGUGAUUACAAGCAAUGUUGCAAUUAAAAUUUCUACAUUUAUCUUUGGAUAUUCAUUUUAAAAAUUGUCAGAAAAAUUCUUAGAAAUGGAAUUGCUGAGUCAAAGGGAGUUAUAUGUAUAUACACAUAUACACCUUUUGCAUUUUGCAAAAUAUUUUUCAAAUUGCUCUCCAUUACAAUUAUUUGUCAAUUAAAAAAUUUUAAAAAGGCAGGAAAAAAUUGUUCUCUAAGGAGUUUGCUCCAAAAUUUUGUUCUGCAAAAGUGCUGUCUUCCCAUACCUUUCCAAACAUUAGUUAUCUGCAAUUUUAUUAUUUAUUUACAUAUUUUCAUUUUUUAGAGAUUAGGAUCUCACUCUGUCACCCAGGCUAGAGUGCAGGCUAAACUUUUUAAAAAAUUUUUUUGUAGAGACACGGUUUUGCUAUAUUCAUCAGGUUGGUCUGAAACUCCAGGCCAAGGGCAAUUCUUCUGACUUAGUCUUUUGAGUUGUUGGGAUUACGGGCGUGAGCCACUGUGCCCAGCUCAAUUUUAUUAAUCUUUGACAGUCUAAUAGGUUAAAAAUGGCUUUUUAUUUUAAUUUGCAUUUUGUAAUCACAUGCAAAGUUGAGCAUUUAUGAAGAAAUAUUUAACCUCAGAACUUGAGCAGAGUGAGGAGGUUGUCCAUGAUGGACUGGGGUGGGGAGAGAAGAGGGAGCAGCACUGAAUGGAGCCCAGCUGGGUACAUCACUGACAUACGGGGAGUAUUUAAAGCCACCGCAGUGGAUGAGAGGACCAUGGUGAGAGAAAGAAGAGAGAAAAGGCUGAGGAUGGAAUCUGCCUUUGGUUUUAACCUGACCACAGCUUCUCUAAAACCAAGAUAUCCAUUUCUUUCUUAUCCUCACUAAGACCUCCCAACUCACCUAAUUUUCUGACAAAUGACCCGCCAAUAAUGUUUGGGGCUAUUUCACAGGUGAUGGGGUUCAGUUCAUAGGUUUGACCUUUGCUCUAGGAGCAAAGAAUUGCUAACAUUCUCCUUUCAGGUCCCUAGUGGUUUUGAUUCCAUUUGAUUUCUGGCUCAACAGCUAUGGCCUUGUAGAGAGGCCCUCACCUCUCCCCUCAUACUUAUCUGCAUCCCUUUGAAUUUUCCCAGCCUCUCAGAGCAGCUCUGCGGCUGAGAAACAAAGCUGGUGGAUAUUCUCACCAGUUCCACAGCCUGUUGCCAGAGGACUGCUCUAAUUUGGUAUCUGGCUCCAGCUCACCAUCCUCUGACCUGCUUGGAUUCAGCUGGGACUCUGAUUUCCUUGGUUCUACAUUGGCUAUUGCUACCACUCUGGCUCUGAGUGGAGCUUCCUCAAUCUGCCUCUCACUCUCCUACUGCUGCCGAAGGAGACAUUUCUGAAAAUGUGCUGCAGAUGUGAAUAUUUUCUGCAAGUGCCUGUGGCUGACCCAGGCUACUGACGCAGUCAGCCUGCUCAGCACUGCUUCUCUGGAACAAACCCUUGACCCCUCUUCCUUUCUCUCAACUUGGACUUUCAGCCCUUUCUAUCCCACUUUAUCCUGAAGCUCUGCUUGGCUGGCUUAGCUGUUAAUUUUUUUUUUUUUAAAUUCCAUAGCUUUAACUCUUCUAAGAAUUCUGUCAUUGUCUCUUUUGAUAAUUGAGUACUCUCCACCAAUGUAGUCCCCUAGGAGGGGAGGGGUUCAGGAGAGAGGAGAAAAAAACAGAAGAGAAUUAACAUGAAUUAAGCAAAGAUUCUGUGCCAGGCACCAAAGCUAAGGAGCUUCACACGUUAUCUCUUUAAUCUCCUCAAAACUUUGAGAAUGGAUCAUUGUUAGCUCAUUUUACAAACAGGAAAAUGAAAGAUUUGAAAGAUGCCCCUUUUGUCUGGAAGCUUCAGCUAUAUGCCAUCUCAAGUUCCAUCUUCCUGGAAAACCCUUGUAAAUCCACCACUGUUAGGCUUAGCCAUCAUCUCCUUGAUGAAGCCUAUCCCUGACCUCUGCCCAAGACUAUGGAAAUAAUGUUAGACAAAAAGCAAAUUCAAACGAUUUUCUUAUUCAAAUUCAAAAUGGGUCAUAAAGUAGCAGAGACAACUCGCAACAUCAAAAAUGCAUUUGGCCCAGGAACUGCUAAUGAAGAAAUGUACAGUGCAGUGGUGGUUCAGGAAGUUUUGCAAAGCAGAAGAGAGCCUUGAAGAUGAGGAGCAUAGUGGCCAGCCAUCGGAAGUUGACAACGACCAACUGAGAGCACUCAUGGAAGCUGAUCCUCUUACAACCACAUGAGAAGUUGCCCAAGAACUCAACGUCAACCAUUCUAUGGUUGUUCAUCAUUGAAGCAGAUGGAAAGGCAAAGAAGCUCGAUAAAUGGGUGCCUCAUGAGCUCAGCAAACGUAAAAUAAAAUCAUCAUUUUGAAGUAUCAUCUCUUAGUCUACACAACAAUAACGAACCAUUUCUCCAUCGGAUUGUGCAAUGAAAAGUGAAUUUUAUAUGACAACUGGUGAUGACCAGCUCAGUGAUUGGAUCAAGAAAGAAGCUCCAAAGUCCCAAAGCCAAACUUGUUACCAAAAAAAGGUCAUGGUCACUGUUUGGUGAUCUGCUGCCAGUUAUGAUCCUCCACAGCUUUCUGAAUCCCAUUGAAACCAUUACAUCUGAGAAGCAUGCUCAGCAAAUCGAUAAGAUGCACUGAAAACCGCAAUGCCUGCAGCCGGCAUUGGUCAACAGAAAGGGCCCAAUUCACCACGACAAUGCUUGGCGGCACAUCACACAACCAGUGCUUCAAAAGUUGAAUGAAUUGGGCUACAAAGUUUUGCCUCAUCCACCAUAUUCACUUGACCUCUCGCCAACCAACUACCACUUCUUCAAGCAUCUCAACAACUUUUUGCAGGGAAAAUGCUUCCACAACCAGCAGGAUGCAAAAAAUGCUUUCCAAGAGUUUGUCAAAUCCCAAAGCUCGAAUUUUUAUACUGCAGGAAUAAACAAACUUAUUUCUUGUUGGCAAAAAUGUGUUGAUUGUAAUGGUUCCUAUUUUGAGUAAUAAAGAUGUGUUUGAGCCCA